ensembl:lncRNA
CUGCAGCCCGAGGUCGACUGCUGGAAAUAAUCGAGCAACAGAAGCGAAGUGUUUCAGCCAGAGUCUCACCCUCUGUCUCCCUGAUCCCAGCUUCUGCCUUCAGCCCGAAUCCAGAAUCCACAGAACGCCUGGAGGCAUCAGAGCUGCUGCCUGAGCGGGAGCUCCGGUCACACAGUGGUGGCGGUGAGGGUGAGAGGAGGUUUGCUGGCUCUGAUGCAUCUUCUUACAGUUUUGGAAGAUAAACUAGGGAUGGCAAAACACAGCGCCCCAAUCUUCAUCUCUGACCACACCUUCAGAAUAACUACGGGAAACGCCACGAGGACUCGACGACGAAGAGAUGUCUCUGCAGUGCAGCCACAGGACCCCAGGGCACGCUUCAGGCCGUGGUUUACCCAAAACACCAGAACAGGAAAGUGAUAAACACGCCAACAUACACAAACAUACACAUCUACACACACUGACUCAAAAUGAAGAGAAACACACACCUGAACAGACGUGCACUUGUUGAUUGAGUGAGAAAUGACACAUACACACAUCAGACAAUGUACACUCAUCAAACAUGACUGAUGCCCUGAACGCCUUGAGACAGAUCCAGCAGGCCCA